UAGAUACCCUAUUAUAAAAAUUUAAAUUGAUUUACUUAAAAAUUAAUAGUUAAGUUCUUUAAAUUUAAAAAAUUUGGCGGUAUUUUAGUCUUAUUAGAGGAACCUGUUUAUUAAUUGAUAAUCCACGAUUAAUUUUACUUAUUUUAAUUAAUUCAUAUAUCGCUGUCAUGAAUAUAUUUAAAAAUUUAUUUUCUUUUUUUAUUUUUAUAAUUUAUGUUAAGUCAAGAUGUGGUUUAUAAAUAAGAAUAUAAUGGGUUACAAUAAAUUUUAUUUUUGGAUUUAAAAUGAAAAUUAGAAUGAAAUUGGAUUUAAUAGUAAGUUUA
rnacentral:rRNA from 1 species